rnacentral:misc_RNA from 1 species
AUAUAUCAAGCCUUCUCUUGUAGAAGGGUUUGGAUGUGGGGGUUUGCUGGCCUCUUAAUCUUAAGAGUUCAGCUCUCCUGAAAUGCAUUAGCAGAACAACCUUAUGUUCAUUGGUGUGAUAACUAUCUACGCUAUUGAAUGUUGAGGGGGAAGUUCAGCUUUCUAACGGUCCUUGGACAACUCAUCAUUA